UACGUAGGGUGCAAGCGUUGUCCGGAAUUAUUGGGCGUAAAGAGCUCGUAGGCGGUUUGUCGCGUCGGCUGUGAAAACUCGGGGCUCAACCCCGAGCCUGCAGUCGAUACGGGCAAACUAGAGUGUGGUAGGGGAGACUGGAAUUCCUGGUGUAGCGGUGAAAUGCGCAGAUAUCAGGAGGAACACCGAUGGCGAAGGCAGGUCUCUGGGCAUUAACUGACGCUGAGGAGCGAAAGCAUGGGGAGCGAACAGG
rnacentral:rRNA from 1 species